UACGGGGGGGGGGCAAGCGUUUGUUCGGAAUUACUGGGCGUAAAGGGCUCGUAGGCGGCCAACUAAGUCGGACGUGAAAUCCCCUCGGCUUAACCGGGGAACUGCAUCCGAUACUGGAGGGCUUGAGUUUGGGAGAGGGAUGCGGAAUUCCAGGUGUAGCGGUGAAAUGCGUAGAUAUCUGGAGGAACACCGGUGGCGAAGGCGGCAUCCUGGACCAACACUGACGCUGAGGAGCGAAAGCCAGGGGAGCAAACGGG
rnacentral:rRNA from 1 species